UACGGAGGAUGCAAGCGUUAUCCGGAUUCAUUGGGUUUAAAGGGUGCGCAGGCGGACUGAUAAGUCAGUGGUGAAAUCCUACGGCUUAACUGUAGAACUGCCAUUGAUACUGUCGUUCUUGAGUACACUUGAAGUGGGUGGAAUGUGUCAUGUAGCGGUGAAAUGCUUAGAUAUGACACAGAACACCGAUCGCGAAGGCAACUCACUAGAGUGAAACUGACGCUCAGGCACGAAAGCGUGGGGAG
rnacentral:rRNA from 1 species